AUGUUACUCCCUCCGUUCGGAAUUACUCGUCCAAGAAAUGAAUGUAUCUAGAUGUAUUUUAGUUGUAGAUACAUCCAUUUUUGUGACAAGUAAUUCCAAACGGAGGGAGUAGUUG
rnacentral:pre_miRNA from 1 species